rnacentral:rRNA from 1 species
AUUGAACGCUGGCGGCAUGCCUUACACAUGCAAGUCGAACGGCAGCACGGGAGCAAUCCUGGUGGCGAGUGGCGAACGGGUGAGUAAUAUAUCGGAACGUGCCCAGUCGUGGGGAUAACGUAGCGAAAGCUACGCUAAUACCGCAUACGAUCUAUGGAUGAAAGCGGGGGAUCGCAAGACCUCGCGCGAUUGGAGCGGCCGAUAUCAGAUUAGGUAGUUGGUGAGGUAAAGGCUCACCAAGCCGACGAUCUGUAGCUGGUCUGAGAGGACGACCAGCCACACUGGAACUGAGACACGGCCCAGACUCCUACGGGAGGCAGCAGUGGGGAAUUUUGGACAAUGGGCGCAAGCCUGAUCCAGCAAUGCCGCGUGCAGGAUGAAGGCCUUCGGGUUGUAAACUGCUUUGUACGACGAACGGUGAGCUCUAAUACAGUUUGCUAAUGACGGUACCGUAAGAAUAAG